rnacentral:rRNA from 1 species
UGCAGAAUCCCGUGAACCAUCGAGUCUUUGAACGCAAGUUGCGCCCCAAGCCAUUAGGCCGAGGGCACGCCUGCCUGGGUGUCACGCAUCGUCGCCCCCUCCACCCCUUAGCCCGACAAAAGGCUAAGGGCGUUGCUGGGACGGAAAAUGGCCUCCCGUAGGCUCCCAGCUUGCGGUUGGCCCAAACGCGAGUCCUCGGCAACGAAUGGCGCCGUGACGAUCGGUGGUAAUGCUCCUAGCGUGCCUUGUCUCCAGUCGCGCGCGCCCGUUGUCCGUGCGGACCCCCUCGGACCCUUUUGUGCAUCGCUCGAACGAUGCUCGCAUCGCGACCCCAGGUCAGGCGGGAUUACCCGCUGAGUUUAA